ACAGCCAUACCACGUUGAAAACAGCGGUUCUCGUCCGAUCACCAAAUUUAAGCAAUAUCAUUGCCCGGUCAAUACUUGGGAGGGUGACCACUUGAGGACACUAAGUGCUUAAGCC